rnacentral:lncRNA from 1 species
CCAGAUGGAGUUUGAAGUGUUCAGUCACAUUGGAACAAUCACCCCAGCAGUGGGGUGCAGCAGAAGUCGUGGAGUGGGUAGUGCUAUGGGGCUGGCAUGGUGCCUGGGGGAACCUAAAAGAGAAAAUUUCAGUUAGAGGUGGGGUCUCCCAUGAUGGAGGAGUUCCCUUGUGUUCCUCGCCCCCUCACUGAGGAGAAACCUGGCUCUAGAGGUCAGAUGAGAUGAGAGAACCAGUUUCCAUGGCAACCUGGAAAAAAGCCAUCCUCCAACCUUCCCCUCAAGAGGCAGCCUGGUUCAGGUGGUAAAGGGGGGCAUGCUGUGGCACCUGAGUAAGUCUACAAUGGACACCAAUCCAUGAUCCUGCUUCUGACUGGACCCAGAGUAGGCUCAGUUACAGCAGACACCCACAGCCAAGCCAGCCUUAGUUCUGACCCCAGGGCAUUGGACCCUAGGCCUUCAGCUCUGCUUCCUUCCACCCAGGAGUUCCUCCCCAACCUUAACUAGACACCAGAUAGUCAACCCCACCCUUUGGACUCUGACCCUUCCUGUUCCCUUAGGCUGGUAUAGGCAGGUCCUGGCAAGUGGCACAGGUGGCCAGACAAGAUGAACGGGCCCAACAGGGAGGAGCCUUCCUUGCAACAACUGUGACUCUGGGCCUGAGCGGGGGAAGUAGCCUCUGCAGCAGGCUCCCUCCAUGUCACCUCCAAUGCCAUAUCCUGUUUCCCCAUCACCUCCUUCCUCUGUGUGGCCCAAGAAGGUGACAGGGACCCACCCCCUCCCUUUCCAGUCCUUAGAUACAAAGAGCUAGGUCUAUUGAUACAAGUCUAGGGACAAGAAUCAGGUGUUGAUACAGGGGUCAGAUCUCAGUCAACCCUCACCUCAGACUCACUCCUCAAGGACCUAUGUUUUCCAUUCUCCUGGCCCCAAGACCCAGACACUUGGGCUCUCUGCCUGGCCUCUCCAUUUCCUGGCAUUCCAGCCCCCAUCUUUCCCCCUGCUCCAGAGACUUAGGCCUCUGGCCCCCAGUCUCCAUGAUGCAAUGUGCUGCAAGCUUUUGUAGCUGCUGAUGACACCGCCCCCAGGGAGGUGUUAUUUCUGACCUAAGCAAGGCCCUUAAGGGGCAGUGGUCAGCUGCAGGCUGAGAAAGCCAGAUUGCCAAGGUCCUUCUGCUGGAGAAAAAUGCUAGAGGCUGCAACCCUUCAGGACAGGGAGGCAAAUUCAGGACUAAGGUGCUUCCUCAGCAGUUGACAGCAUUUGUGGAGGGCGAAGAAGCCGCUGACUGGCUAAGUUUCCUGGGAAAAUAACUAUAGGAAUUCUGGGAACCCCAAAAGGAGACGAAGGAGGGAACCCAGGAGUCCUGCCUUUAUCUAUAUUAACCCCAGCAGGACUAAUCCUAGGGAAUCCGGUCAUUCGCCUGCCUCCUCCUCUCCGCCUCCAGCCUUGAC